rnacentral:piRNA from 2 species
UACUCCGUUAUGGCUGGCAGGUAACU